rnacentral:sRNA from 12 species
AGGAGGAGCCAGCUUUGACGGCGGAAGCCGUCAACUCUAAUGCUGGCGACGACCUGCCGCCGAAGCGGAGCUGAGGGGGCGCUACCAUUG